rnacentral:lncRNA from 1 species
GAAAGUAGAGACUGAGGAUUACAUAAAUCCAAAAGGAAAAAACAAGAAGAAAAGUCCACAACGAGGUGCUAACUAUUUUUGUGAAUGAUAUAAUGCCAUGUUCUAAGACACCCCCAAAAUAUCAUCAAUUAUUAAAUGAAUCCAUAAAUGCACCAUGAAUAAUUAUAUGUUGACAUUCAACGAAAUGGGGCUAGCUAAAGCCCAAAGCCAGAGAAAAAUCGAGGCAGAGAACCUUCCAUCCCACACUAUAAAACAGCACCUUCACUCUCCAAUUUUCUCAUCACACUUAGCAAACUCAUUCAUAUCAAAUCUUCAUUUCUCUUCCAUUUCUCCAAAUUCCAAGAGGUAAUCAUGGGUGUGAUCACUUACGAUGUAGAGACCCCUUCCUCCAUCCCGGCCGGGAAGCUCUUCAAGGCCCUGGUGAUCGACUCCGACACCCUCAUCCCCAAGAUCCUGCCUCAGGCCAUCAAGAACGUCGAGAUCUUGGAAGGAGACGGCGGCGCCGGCACCGUCAAGAUCAUUCAUUUUGGCGAAGGGAGUCAGUAUAAGAGCGUCAAGCACCGUGUGGAGGCCAUCGACAAGGAGAACUUCACCUACACCUACACCAUCAAUGAAGGUGAUGUUCUCGCAGAUGUCAUUGAAUCCAUCACUUACCAUAUCAAGGUCGUCCCAACCGAAGAUGGAGGAAGCAUCUGCAAGAACAGGAGCAUUUACAACACCAAGGGUGAUGCUGUGAUUGAUGAGGAGAAGAUCAAGGAGGGGAAAGACAAGGCCCAACAUAUGUUCAAGGCCAAUGAGGCUUACAUCACCGCCAACCCCGACUACUGAAAGAGACGAGGCUUCAUAUAUCAAUGAUGUCAUUUUAUAUAUAUACGUGGUUUCUGAUAUGAGAUAAUUGGUGUGCGAGAGACUAUGUAUAGGCUUAAUUGCCUAGAGUGAUAUCGAUUUACUUUGUGUGAUUUUUGAAUUUGUGUUGAGUGAAUAUUAUUGUAUUGAAUUUGUGUUGCACUAAAUAAAGAAGCAUAGUUUUUUUUUUUUUUUUUUGAAUUAAUAAAGAAGCAUAGUUAAUUGCAAGUUUGGUGGUCGUGGGAUUAAUAUUUUUAUUGUUCUCUUGUGGUUGUUUUGUUUCUUUAUUUAGGGGUAACUAAUAUAUCCAUAUAUUUCAGAUUAGCAUAUGAACAUAAAUUUCACCUCAAAAUACAAGAACUUUCAUUUUUUAUUUUUUAUUUUUUUCUUUCUAACUUUGCACCUGAUAAAUAAUUUAACGUUGAAAACUGAGGAAGAUGUUGGAAUUAAUCUAUGUAUGCAUAGAGUUUUGAUAUAUAUUUUUAAUGAAUGAAUACUGAGGUAGAAGUCAGAAUUAUCUUUACAUGCAACGAAUUUUUUUUAUAAACAACAUAGUUAGACUAGUAAUGAAAUAUUGUCGUUUCAUCAUAAAAUAAGUCCUAUAUUUUUAGAUGAUCAUUUAAAGCAUUUUUUUUUUUGCAAUUUAAGACUAAGAGCAGUGGCGGAUCCAGGGGGGGCUAGGGGGGGCUUCAGCCCCCUCCCAAUUUUUGAGUUUUUUUUUUUAAAUUAUAGAUAUAUAUUUAUUAUUUUGUUUUAUAUCUAUAUAUAUGUGUAUAUAAAUAAAAAAAUACAAGAAAAAAUAUAGUAAUACAUUAUUUAUAGUAUCCAACUAUCCAUAUUAAUUGCUCAACACAUUGAGUUGUUACAUUUAUAGUAUUAUUUUUAUCAUUUUUUCUUUCUUAGUUAAUUUUUAAUGUUAAAUUUGAGUCAAUUCUAAAGGUAAAAGUAAAAUUACUAAUUACUAACAAUGAAAAUUAGUUUAUUUGUUUAGAAGAUGAAACAAUUUUUUUUUAAGAAAAAUGAAUAAAAGUACGUUUUUAUAUGCUUUCAAUCUACUUGAUGUUGAAUUAAUUGAAUUGCGAACAAUUAUCUUAUUAUAUUAAGUGAUUGUUGAAAAAAUGUAUGAAAUGAAGUGUACGGAAUGCUCAAAAAAAUUUGCUUCGGGGGCUCCCGCCCCCGAACCCCCGUGUAAAUAUUUUCAAGCACCGUAGUCCAAUAGAUUCAGCCCCCCCUAACAUUGAAUCCUGGAUCCGCCCCUGACUAAGAGGGUUGUGAGUUCACGAUCAAGGCCGUACUUCAUUAUUCGUGAUUCAUGAUUUUGAAUUCGUUGUUCGGGUCCAAUAUUUAGGUUCACAUAAUUAGGUCUUCGAGUUGUGUGUUUGUAAUUGAAUCCGUUGAAAAUAUUUUUAAUUUGUGUGCAAGAUUAGGGGGAAAAAAAUGAAAUUUUAUAUAUUUGGAAAUAUGAUUUAUAGCUCAUGUGCAAAAUAAAAAAAUAUAUAAAUUUUUUUAAGAUGCUAUUACCACUUUUAUUUAUUUUCGAGUUGAGUUCAAAAUCAUAAUUAAGGAAGACUGAUAAAAUCUAGAGGUCAAUCGUUUAGGUUGCUCACUGACAAUGAAAUGUGCAAAAUUAAUAUAAAAAUAGGCCAGUGAACCAUGUGGAUUGAAUCGGAGUCUUUUUUAGGUUCAUUUAUAUAGUUGGACAUAAAAGGGGAUAGAGGUUUAAUUCACUCAGUAUAAAAGUUGACGGUGAAUUUUAGACCAAUUAAUGAGAAACAAAUUUUUUAGAAAAUCAAGAAUUUAUGAAUAACUUUUAAUAAAAUAUCAUAUAUAUUUAUUUUCUUUAUCCAGUACUUGAUUUUUAUCCUGUGAUUAUUUAUUAGAUUGCUGAUCCAGUGACUUGAUUUUUAUUGUAUUGGAAAUUGAAUUAUAUAUUCUAGGGUAAAUUUAAUCUAAAACUAUAAUAAAUUUUUGUAAUAUUUUAUUUUUUUUCCAUAAUCUUUUAUUCUUGUUUCAUAAUCUAUUUGAAAUCUCUUGAUUUGAGUUUAGUCUGUAUCUCUGGGCCAAAACGUCAAAUUUGUAUAUGGCCCAAAGGCUUUUAAUGGGCUACAUAGUCAAAUGGGCCGAAUUUUUAGGUCGAGAGUCCAUUGGGUCAAAAUUGCAACUACAGAACGGAAUAUUCUAUUUAAGGAGAUUGGAGUACUUGGACGACGCUGGGGUCAAAAAUUAUUAAUGCGAAUUUUUUUCUAAAUAUUAGACUUUUAAUAAUACAGAGACGACUCUUUACAGAAAUGAAUAUUUUUUAAACAAAAUACUACUUAUAAUAUAUAGUUUAUCCUCGUAUCUUAAGUGACUUUAUUUGUAGGUAUUAUUGUUCGUUUUUUAGUUAAAUGCUUAUUAUGAUGUUUGUAAUUGCAAAAAAUUAAAAGGCAUUCGUAUGAAAAUUGUAUAUUCAGAAAAGAUGGGUUAUUAUUGUGUGAUCACAAUUCACAAGCUUGAGCAGACUUAUUCAAGGAGAUUUGCUGCUCAAAUUUGUGUUCACAUUUAUUGCCAAAUACAAUCAAGAGAAAGUGUAGACUAGUCUACCAUGGAGUGCUACGUACAACCAAUUUUGGUCUUAAAAUAAAUGCAAGUGUGAAUUUUUCUUCUUAUUCUGUUUCUAUAUAUAUAAUUGAAAUAGCUCUCAAUUGACCCUACAAGAAUGCUUCAACUUGUGAUGUCAAAGCAAUUAUAGUAAAGACUGUGAAGUAAUAUAAAAAUACGAUUAACUUACAUCAUUCGGGAAAUUUUCUAUGCAUUUUCUUGACAUGUUUCACAUGCAUGCCACAAGGUGAAGCAAAAAACAUAUGACUUCUUAUUCAUUUUAAUUUAAUACUAAGUUAAAGUUAACUUAAAUCAAUAUCAUGAUUUGGCAUUGACGAACUCAUGCAGCUUAUAAAAUAUCAAGCAUAAUGAUUAGAUAAAAAUCGUCAUACUCGAGUGGUAAAAAAGAAAGAUACAGAUCCUUUUGGGACGGCUAAUGGUAAAGUGAAUAUAAACGUGGUUUAAGUCUGUUAUAUAGACCUAUUUUUUUAAAAUGAGAUUUGCAGAUUUCACAGAAACAUAGAUUUAUCAAAUAAUACGACUUGUCACACAUAGUUUUUGAUGUAUGAUUUGUCUGUAUCGAAUCUUAAUAUCAUAAUGAAUAGUUUUUUUUUUCACAUUUUUUCACUAUUUUCAAUACUAAUUACAAUACAUUUUCACCACUUUCAAUACUAAUUACUCCCUCCGUCCCGGUCAAAGUGGUGCACUUCUUUUGGGCACGGGAUUUAAAGAGAAUAAGAUUGUAGUGUAAAAGUGUGUAAAUGUGUGUGGGGCCAUAUUUUUUGUAGUGUAAAAUUAUUACCAAAAAAGGAAAUGCACCACUUUCGGUGGGACAGCCCAAAAAAGAAUACGCACUACUUUCGGUGGGAUGGAGGAAGUAUAAUAUUUUUCACUAUUUACAAUAUACUCAACAAUUUUGUAUUAAAAUUCGUACCCCUUAGGAAGUUAUUUGGGGGUCGGUAGAGGAUAAUGCCAUGUUCUAUGACACCCCAAAAUAUCAUCGAUUAUUAAAUCAAUCCAUAAAUGCACCAUGAAUAAUUAUGUCUACAUUCAACGAGAUGGGGCUAGCUAAAGCCCAAAGCCAGAGAAAAAUCGAGGCAGAGAACCUUCCAUCCCACACUAUAAAAUAGCACCUUCACACUCUCCAAUUUUCCCAUCACACUUAGCUAAUCUCAUUCAUAUCAAAUCUUCACUUCUCUUCCAUUUCUUCAAAUUAAAAAAAAAAGGGAAUCAUGGGUGCGAUCACUUAUGAUGUAGAGACCCCUUCCUCCAUCCCGGCCGGGAAGCUCUUCAAGGCCCUGGUGAUCGACUCCGACACCCUCCUCCCCAAGAUCCUGCCUCAGGCCAUCAAGAACGUCGAGAUCUUGGAAGGAGACGGCGGCGCCGGCACCGUCAAGAUCAUUCAUUUUGGCGAAGGGAGUCAGUAUAAGAGCGUCAAGCAUCGUGUCGAGGCCAUCGACAAGGACAACUUCACCUACACGUACAGCAUCCUUGAAGGUGAUGUUCUCUCAGAUGCCAUUGAAUCCAUCACUUACCAUAUCAAGGUCGUCCCAACCGAAGAUGGAGGAAGCAUCUGCAAGAACAGGAGCAUUUACAACACCAAGGGUGAUGCUGUGAUUGAUGAGGAGAAGAUCAAGGAGGGGAAAGACAAGGCCCAACAUAUGUUCAAGGCCAUUGAAGCUUACAUCACCGCCAACCCCGACUACUGAACGAGACGAGGCUUCGUAUAUCAAUGAUGUCAUUCUAUAUACGUGGUAUCUCUGAUGCGAGAGGAUCGGUGUGCGAGAGACUAUCUAUAGGCUUAAUUGCCUAGAGUGAUAUUGAUUUACUUUGUGUGGUUUUUGUAUUUGUGUUGAGUGAAUAUUACUGUAUUGAAUUUGUGUUGCACUAAAUAAAGAAGCAUAAUUAAUGUUGCAAGUUUGGUGGUAGUGGGAACAUUUUUAUUUUUCUCGUGGUUGUCUUGUUAUUUUAUUUAAGUGUAAUUAAUAACCGUAUAUUUCGGAUUACGCAUAUGAGUAUAAAUUAAAUUUCGUCUCAAAAUACAAUAACUUUUUUUUUUCUCUAGCUUUGCACCUGAUCAUAAAUAUUUUUGACGAAUAAAUAUUGAUAUAGAAGCCAAAGUUAUCUUUAUGUGCAACGAAAAUCUUCAUAAGCAAUAUAAUUUGAUUAGUAAUAAAAUAUUGUCGUUUCAUCAUAAAAUAAGUCUCAUAUUUUUAGAUGAUCAUUUAAGGCAUUAUUUUUCACAAUUUAAAAUUAAAGGGCUGCGAGUUCACGAUUGAUUCAUGAUUUUGGUUCAUAUAUUUAGGGCUUCGAGUCGUGGAUUCGUGAUUGAGUUGUGAAUGUUUGAAAAUAUCUUUAAUAUGCUUUGGAAAAAAAAAUUAUAUAUUUGGAGACAUGACUUAUGGCUCAUGUGCGAAAUAGAUAAAUGUUAUAAAAUUUUGUAUUUUAGAUACUAUAACCACUUUUAUUUAUUUUCGAGUUUGAGUUCAAAAUAUUACUCCCUCCGUCCCAAUAAAAGUGGCCACAUUUCCUUUUUGGGUGUCCCAUUAAAAGUGGCUACUUUCUAAAAAUGGCAAAAGUUUACUUUAAUUAAGUCAACAAUUACUCACUAAUUUGGUCAACAAUUGUAGGCCAUUUUCUAAAAAUGUCAAAAUUACUUACUAAUUUGGUCAACAAUUGUAGGCCACUUUCUAAAAAUUACUCACUAAUUUUGGUGGGUCACACUCAAUUAAAACAUAACAAUUCCCUUCUUAAUCUCCGUACCUAAAAAAAAGUGGUCAUUUUUAUUGGGACGGAGGGAGUAAUAAUUAAGGAAGACUAAUGAAUCUAGAGGUCAAUAUAUCGUUUAGGUUGCUCACUGACAAUGAAAUGAGUAAAAUUAAUAUAAAAAUAGGCACCAUGUGGAUUAAAUCGGAGUCUUUUUCAGGUUUAUUUAUUUNUUAGGUUAUUUAGUUUAGUUGGACAUAAAAGGGGUUGGGAGGUUUAAUUCACUCAUUAUAAAAAUUGACGGUGAAUUUUGGACCAAUUAAAGAGAAACAAUCUUUAGUUAUAUCAACUCUUAUUAUAUUUACGGAGACUAUUUAUAGAAAAUUCAAGAAUUUAUGAAUAACUUUUAAUAAAUUAAAUAUCCUUUAUACAUUUAUUUUCUUUAUCCAGUGACUAUUUAUUGGAUUGCUUAUCCAGUGACUUGAUUUUUAUUGUAUUGGAUAUUGAAUUAUUAUAGGGGUAAUUUUGACAUCUCGCCGGGGAUUUUUUAGACAAAACUUUAAAAUAAAAAAGUGCAAAUAAAAGUUACUAAUGCGAAAAAUAUUCUAAAUAUUAGACUUUUAAUAAUAUAGAGACUCUUUAACUCUUUACAGAAAUUAAUAUUUUUUAAACAAAAGAUACUAAUAAUAGAUUGUUUAUCCCCGUAUCUUAUAAAGUGACUAGAUUUGUACGUAGGUAUUAUUGUUCGUUUUUGAGUCAAAUGCUUAUUAUGCUGGUUUUAAAAGGCAGUACUGUAAUUACCAUGCAUAUUUUAAUAUUCGUAAGAAAAUUGUUAAGAAAGAUGGGUUAUUGUGUGAUCACAAGCUUGAGCAGACUUAUUCAAGGAUAUUUGCUGCUCAAAAUUUGUGUUCGCAUUGUCUUGCCAAAUACAUACAAGAGAAAGUGUAGACUAGUCUACCAUGGAGUGCUACAACCAAUAUUUGGUCUCAAAAUAAAUGCAAGUGUGAAUUUUUCUUCUUAUUCAGUUUCGAUAAUUGAAAUACCUCUCAAUUGACCCUACAAGAAUGCUUCAACUUGUGAUGUCAAAUCAAUUAUAGGUAAUAAAGACCGUGAAGUAAUAUCAAUAUAUGAUUAACUUACAUAGUUACAUAAAUCUAACAGAAAAAAAAACAAGAAGAAAAGUCCACAACGAGGCACUAACUAAUUUUGUAAAUGAUACUCUCUUCGUCCUCUAAAUAACUUCAUAUCUGUCCCCAAGGGGACACCAAGCGGUGCGAAUAGUGAAUAAAAAAUAAAAUAAAAAAUAAUUAUGUGAAUAGUGAGGUCUCGGGUUCAAACUCCACUGCCCCCCUCCCCAACACCCCCAUGUAAAAAAAUAAAAAAUAAUAAUAACUUCAUAUCUUUUUUUUAGGUUGUCUCCCAAAUAAUUUACUAGUACUUUAUUUUAGGACACUAUCCCAACUUUUCAUAAUACUUCAUUUAUUCUUUUUUUUUUCACCACUCUCAAUACUAAUUACAACACCUUUUCAUCUUUUAUUAUUAUUAUUAUUAUUAUUAUUAUUAUUAUUAUUAUUAUUAUUAUUAUUAUUAUUAUUAUUAUUAUUAUUAUGCACUCAAUAAUUUUAUCUUAAAAUCAAUGGGCCCCCUCAAAAGAUUAUUUGGAGGAUGGAGGGAGCAUAAUGCCAUGUUAUAUGACACCACAAAUAUCAUCAAUUAUUAAAUUCAAACCAUAAUUAAUGCAUCACGAAUAAUUGAGUUGCCAUUCAACGAAAUGGGGCUAAAGCCCAAAGCCAAAGAAAAGUCGAGGUAGAGAACCUUCCAUCCCACACUAUAAAAUAGCACCUCACACUCUCCAAUUUUCCCAUCACACUUAGCUAAUCUCAUUCAUAUAUAUCAAUCACUAAUCAAUCUUCACUUCUCCUCCAUUACUCCAAUUUUUUAAAAAAGAGAAUCAUGGGUGCGAUCACUUAUGAUGUAGAGACCCCUUCCUCCAUCCCGGCCGGGAAGCUCUUCAAGGCCAUCGUGCUCGAGCCGACACCCUCAUCCCCAAGAUCUUGCCUCAGGCCAUCAAGAACGUCGAGAUCUUGGAAGGAGACGGCGGCGCGGCACCGUAAGAUCGUUCAUUUUGGCGAAGGGAGUCAGUAUAAGAGCGUCAAGCACCGUGUCGAGGCCAUCGACAAGGAAACUUGACAUACACGUACACCAUCAUUGAAGGUGAUGCUCUCUCAGAUUUAUUGAAUCCGUCACUUAUCAUAUCAAGAUCGUCCCAACAGAAGAUGGAGGAAGCAUCUGCAAGAACAGGAGCAUUUACAACACCAAGGGCGAUGCUGUGAUUGAUGAGGAGAAGAUCAAGGAGGGGAAAGACAAGGCCCAACAUAUGUUCAAGGCUAUCGAGGCUUACCUCAUCGCCAACCCCGACUGCUGAAAGAGACGAGGCUUCUAUAUCGAUGAUGUCAUUUUUAUAUACGUGGUAUAUAUAUACCUGUGAUGCUAGAGAAUUGGUGUGCGAGAUAUUAUAAAUAGGCUGAAUUGCCUAGCUAGAGCGAUAUCAAUAUUGAUUUACUUUGUGUGGUUUUUGAAUUUGUGUUGAGUGAAUAUUAUUGUGAUGAUUUGUGUUGCACUAAAUAAAGAAGCAUAAUUAAUAUUGCAUGUUUGGUGG